AACUUUAAGAAGAGAUUUUCCAGGACUUAAGCUUAGAAGAUCCUUUGGGUUGCAUCCAAGGCUUACGGAGUUAGAGACUUCAACUUUGCUGUGACUCAAAUACAGUGAUCCUUUUUUCAGUUCAUUUUUAAAUGUGAUGAUGAUUUUACAAAAAACUAAGCAAGAUUGUUGUGUCAAGCGACUUAUUAGAUCAAUCCAUUUUUAGGUAUUCUCAUAUCACCUCUUAAUAGUAGGAUAGUAUGCAUUCUUGAACCAUGACAAAAGGAGAAUUUAGAUGCAUUGAAACAAAGGUGGGAAAUAUCAGAUAUCCCUGUAGUGAAAGUGAAAAAGGCACCUAAUUCUCCUCAAGAAAGUAUCUCAACAUGUAAGUACAUACAUGCCUCAUCUUGAUUCUUGAUGUGUAUCGUGAGAUAAGAGUAACAAAGUUUAUCUGUCAUUUGUUUCAUGUUACAGAUAAGUUUAUUGGUGUAUCUGCACUUUGUCUCAUUUUCAACAGAAAAGUUUACCCCCAAGGUUGGUAUCUUGGCGUGGGGGACUCACUCUUACCGGUUUUGGCAAAGAAGUGGUCUUUGCAUUUGAGAGCUGCGUGUCCCUGGGAACCUGAUUGUCUGAGAUUGACUUGCUGUAUAUUACUACCAGUUAAAUUUUACAUCUCCUAGUAGUGGUCAGGAGCUCUUUUGGUCAUGCCGAGAGAGGAUUGUUGUGUUUGGUCGUCCCCACAACAAGAAGGAGAUCAGUGAGGAAGCUGGGUUGAUUUUAGCAGUUUCCCAGUUAAAAGGAGGAAGUAGUGACAUGAAUGCACAUGUGCGGAGCAAUCACAGUCUUCAAGUUGUUACAAAACUUGUGUUGAAGCAAGUAUUAGUGGUGAAGCUAGUGAUUCUUGCAGUAUUAAUGAGCCUAGUAAUGCUGGAUGUGACACUGAUGAGGUUCAGCAAAGGAAGUCGCAGUUGUUACCAAAAUGGUGUGAAUCAGAAGUAAGUGACAAUGAGGAGAUGCAUUCUGAUAGCGUGAAGGUGAAGAGGGAUGCAACUAAAUGAAUUCUCAUUAAUAGGGCACCACCUAUUUUGAUCAUUCAUUUAAAGAGAUUCAGUCAAGAUCUUCGUGGCCGUUUGAGCAAAUUGAAUGGUCAUGUGGUUUUUUGAGAGACAGUUGAUCUUGGACCAUACUUGGAUCCCAGGUGCUUGGGGGCAGAUGAGUACGAAUUCCGGCUGAUCUAGAGACCAUGAGGGUGGCCACUAUGUUGCCUAUGCGAGAGCUGCAAAGGGUAACAAGAAGGCGGAUAAAGAAAGCGCAGAUUUUGUGUGGUAUCAUGCCAGUGAUGCUCACGUGCACGAGGCUUCAUUGGGAUAAGUUCUUAGGUGUGAGGCCUACAUCUUGUUUUACGAAAAACUUUGACCAAUUCUUUUUACCUUCCAUUCAUUAUGACCUCCAAAUUUAAUUC